rnacentral:lncRNA from 1 species
AAAUAUCUUUAAGUUCUUAUUCUGUUUUAGAGGGACCAAAAUGGAAAUGUUACCGAACCGAACUUGGGUCUGCUCGCCUGCUGCACAGAAAAGACAAUCUACUGACACCGGGUUGUGGUGAAGGAAAGUACAGCGUUUAUUUGCAGGGUGCCAAGCAAGGAGAACAAACAGGCAGCACGUGUUCAAAAGACCCGAACUCCCCCAUGGCUUUCAGGGAUGGGUUUAUUUCUUUAUUUCUUUCUUUUUUUUUUUUCUUUAAGGGCAACUUUUGGGGUGAGGGUUGCAGCUCAUGGGCUUUCUUUCUUUUGGUUGGUGGUACCUAACAAGAUGAUGUUUUGGAAAUCUUAAUCAUCAACCUUCAGGUUCCACCCAGUCUGGGGUCCACCUGUGUGUGGUCAGCAUGUAGUCACCAUCCUCCACCUGAGUGGAGGGGUGUAGUUUCUACAGAAAAGCUCAAAGAUAUGCAUCAGAUUGUUAUACAUAUUACUUGAGGAGGAAGUAGGGCUCUGUUUUAUCGCUGAACUGUUGUUUAAGCUAUUAUAACUUUCUUGCUCACCUGCAUUCCCUCACUUCCCUAAUUGGUAACUGUUUGAGUCUACUUUUUGGAACUCAGGAAAGGCCUAGGAGACUAAAACUUUUCUCCUACAAACAAGACAUGGGGGAUAUGGAGGAGCUUUUGUACCUGGGAGUGCCCCAUAUGGUCCUGCUUGGUCUCAAUCUCCUCUUUUCUUUGAUACUCCUCAAUCCUAAAGGGAGCAGGGGUGGGACAACAAAGGGAACACGUUUUGGAUAGAGAUUAAUCAUAAACUUGUUUGAGGAACUCGGUUUUAGGCAGACUUGGUUUUGGAAACUCCUUGCAGGUAAAUCAUGAUAUGGUUUAUGAAAAUAUGAUAAAAAAUAAGACUUGGAACUCUAGCUGUCGUAUUCACAAAAAGACCUCAAUGAAACUAAAAAAACCUAUCUUGACCGUAAACAUGUAUUUAUUUGUAUGUUUUAAGUUAGAUAAAAUAUUGAGGUUAAGUGUGUUCUGUAUUUUAAAAUUGUUUUAUUGAUUAAUAUUUAAAAAGUUAACUCACCAACUCCUGGGUCUUAUCUUGUCAGAUAAGAAGAUUUUUAUCUCACACUGAUAAAAUGAAAUUUUUGGAAUUCUGUAUAAUAUCAUAAACAGGUGCUUGUCAUAUAUGGUUAAAUGAGAGAGGAGGCCAUUCCAUUUUUGUAAAAACAUGUUUAGAACAGAGAAGAAUAUAAAAUGAAUGGUGGGUAGUGGGAUUGGUCUGAUUUUUAUGCUCUCAAUUUUAUUAUUUUUAUAAUUUUACUAUAAUUUUGUUUUACUUUCUUAAUACAAGUUAAUAAAAGUCACUCCUUAAAGAAACAAUUAAUGUGUGUUUUCCUAAUUUGUAAGUAUAAAUGAGACUGAGUCUUUGCUUAAGGGAUACUGACUCUUUAAACUUGGAUAUUUGGGUAUUAACUAAUUCUCUCAUAUUCUAGGAAAUAGUGCUGAAUAGUUAAACAGUUAUAUCCCUUAUCCUGUUGAAAGCCUUUGAAUAGGAAAGAACAUUGUUCCAGAAUUUUCUUAAAGCACUCUUUGAGUAUACUGAUUCCCAAAAACAUUUACACACUGUCUGAAGAUAAGGUCUAAAUCUUUCAUCUGCUUUUAAAUCCUGUCAUGUCAAACCUUAGUCUACUUUUCUUGCUUUAGUGCCCUUUAAAUUCUUAAAUGAAAUCUUAUUUCCAGCUAAACUUGUCAACUUGAUAUUUCCACAUGUUCCUUGUGCUUUCUUGCUUUUGUACUUUUGCUUCUUUGUGACUUGGAAUAUCUUUUCCUGAUGGUUAUGUGAGCAAAUUCUGGAUAAUGUCCAGCUAAAAAGCCAUAUCUACUGUGACAUCUGGUUUGUCCAGCUAAAACUGUAUUUUGCAACUACAUCCAUUUGCACUUAUUAUUUGUGCGUAGACAUUUCUCAGAUACCACCUGAUAUUUAUGCAUUUAUUUCCUAAUUCUGUUUUAAACUUCUCAAGAGCAAGAAAGCUUGUCUUGGAUUUCUCUCUAUCCCUUGAUGCUCCUAGCAUGGAACCUUGCGCUGGGUAGGUGCUGAAUGUUUAUUCCUUGAUCUUACAGUGGUGUCACUGGCUCUUUUGGGUCCAAGUGUUGGAAUUUUUUGUUACCCCCCAGUGAUCCUGGUUAGGGGGUAAACACUUUGCCCACAACAAUGUGGAGGAAAAAAAAAUUGGCUAAUUUGGCUUAAUUGUCAAUUGAUAUAGAGAGAUAAAGAAUUGACAGUAUUUUUUAUUAAAACUAACACAAGAGCUGAGAGUUGCAUGGUUCAGAACCUAAACUUAAAUUUCACGUAAAUAUUUCUUUGGAAAGUUUGAAAGUUCGUUUUGGGUUUGAUAGCCUCUUGGGUCUUAACCCUACUGUAGGCAAGUUAUGCCUUGUGUCCUUACAGCUACUUUUCCCAGAACCCAGAGAUCUAAACUAUUUGGUGGUGGGGUAUAUGGACAAUCGUCACUCUUUUCCAGAACAUUUUAAGAGGUCAUGUGGGAUUCAAUGAGUUAUAGUAUGUAAACUGCUUUAUGUUCAAAAGUUAAUAUUUUUUCUCUUGUUAAUGGAAACAUAAUUAUGUUACUUUUCAAACUUAAAUUGUGACUCGGGGGUACUUAUUUGGUUAAUGGCAGACACUUAACAGGGCUUAUCUUUUUUCUGUUAAACAGUUUUAUUUUAAUUUAUAGAUGUUUGCCAGGACUAAAUAUAGCUGAUGAAAUAUCUACCCUUUUCUGCUCAAGGUAAAUGAUUCGUUACUUUAUAAAAAUACCAGGAACCAAUAGAAUUCAGAGUUUGUAUAAAAAGACCCAUUUGGUGAUAUAAAGUAGUCUAAUUUUAGACCCCAAAGAAAUGAUUCCUUUAAGAAUUUUAUUGGUACGUGAAAGAUGACACACUAUUGGUUAAUUGUAUAUCAGGAUCACCUUGGAACAUUUAAAUUAUGUAUAAUAUGCAUGUGCUUGGCUUCCCCAGGGAAUUUUGAUUCCAUAAGUUUUUCAGAUGGAGUUUCAGCAUGUGAAUUUUUAAAAUGCCAACAGGUGCUUUUGAUUUAUUGCAGCUCCAUUAUGGCAUAUGUAUGACACUAGAGAUGAUGGAAAUUGCAGGCAAUAAUGCCAUGGGAGUUAAAGUACAUAAAGGUUAAAGAUCGAAAAAUAUUCAAAGUGUUUAGAUUUGUGCGUGUGUGAUGUUAGACUUUCAUUUUGCCUUUCAUUAAAUGAAUGUUUUAAUUAUAUUUGAAAUAAAGCACUAAAAAAUUUAUUUUGUGAUUUUCAGAGUUUAGGUUCUCUCUAGAGUUCUAGGGUUCUCUCAGCCUGAAAAAUGUCAUAUUUAUAAAUACAACUUAAAGCUUCUUUCUUUUUGUUGUUUCAGGUUAAUAAGUGAAGUAAAAGGAAAACAGACCAAAUUUUAAGUAAAUAAUUUCUUAAAUAUUCUUUAUUUCAGAAGCUGGAUUAAUUGAUUUAUUUUCCCUAGAAGUGUGAGAAGUCAGAAACUAUGAAAUUUUCUCAUAAUAAAAAGUAAUAGGUAAGUGAAUAUAAUGAAAGCAUUUUGAUUUAAUGAAGCUUUUCUAUUCUAAUUGGUUUUAGGCUAUGAUUUCUUUUCUCUUUUUUUGCUUCUUAGGACCACACCUGAGUCAUAUGGAAGUUCCCAGGCUAGGGGUCCAAUCAGAGCUGCAGAUGUCGGCUUCCACCGAUGUCAGAUCUGAGCCACAUCUGUGACCUACAUCACAGCUCAUAGCAACGCAGAAUCUUUAACCCAUUGAGCAAGGCCAGGAAUUGAACCUGAGUCCUCAUGGAUACUAGUCAGAUUCAUUACCACUGAGCCACAACGGGAAUUCCCUAUGAUUUCAUUUUUGAACACUGAUUUUAAUGAGUAAACAUCUGUUGCAGGAUGAUCUUAUGAAAAAUGCUUAUAACAUUAUGGGAUAAUUCUUUUUAUAUUUUUCAACAGACAAGAAUGCUUAAAAUAAUUAGAAUUAAAAUGUUGAUGAAAUUAUUUUGUACAAUUCUAUUUUCAUUUUCACAAAACAGUAAAAACACUUCAUUAUUAUUAUUUUAUUUAUUUAUUUACUUUUGGUCCUUUGUCUUUUUUGGGGCUGCACCUGCGACAUAGGGAGGUUCUCAGGCUAGGGCAGCUGUAGCUCCGAUUCAACCCUUAGCCUGGGAACCUUCAUAUGCCUUGGGUGCGGCUCUAAAAAGACAAAAAAAGAAAAAGAUGUUAUGUAUGACACUGAGAGUUCACAUAAUCUGGGAUUUUGUGUAGAAAAUAAUGGGAAAAUUAAUGAGCUUCAUUAGAGUGUAGUAAAUACACUAGAGCAACAACUUAGAAAUAGUAAUUUGUCUUUACAAAUUGAGUACUUUACUCAAUACUGAAUCAUUUCUUGAUAACUAGCAACUUUUCAGAAAAUUAAUAAACUCAGUCAUCUAGGCUUCAAAUAUUGGCAACAAAUUAUUCUUCUAGAAGAUGCAUAACUCUCAGAGAAAGACAAAUAUGUAUGAUAUCACUGAUAUGUGGAAUCUGAAAAAUAAAACUAGUGACUAUUACAAAAAAGAAAUAAUCACAGAUGCAGAGGACAAACUAGUGGUUACCAGCAGGGAUAGUAUGGAGGAGAAGGGUACCAUAGGAGCAGAGGAUUAAGCAGUACAAACGACUAUGUAAAAAAUAGAUCGGGUACAUAGAUGUAUAGUACAACACAGGGAAUAUAGCCAAUAUUUUAUAAUAAGUGGAAUAUAACCUCUAAAAAUUGUGAAUUGUCCUGUUGUACACCUGAAACAUAUUUUGUACAUCAACUACACCUCAGUUAAAAAAAGAAGAUGCAGGAGUUCCUGUUGUGGCACAGUGAUUAACGAACCCAACUAGGAACCAUGAGGUUGCGUGUUCGAUCCCUGGCCUUGCUUAGUGGGUUAAGGAUCCGGCAUUGCCAUGAGCUGUGGUGUAGGUUGCAGACACGGCUCGGAUCCCGCAUUGAUGUGGCUCUGGCUCUGGCUGGUGGCUAUGGCUCCGAUUAGAUCCCUAGCCUGGGAACCUCCAUAUGCCAUGGGUGCAGCCCUAGAAAAGACAAAAAAAGACAAAAAAAAAAAAAAAAAAAG